rnacentral:lncRNA from 1 species
GUCAUAACACACCUACAGAGCAUUAAUUUGUGCAAAGAAUUAGCAUGAGAUUGAAUGAAGCAGCAGCAAGCCACGAGUGCAAAUAAGUACCAACAGCAGCUCAAGUUAUUCCUCUUAUUUUGUAUAGGAUGCACCACCAGCGCAAGUUCCUCCUCUUUGUUUUGUACAGAAUGCAGGUGUUCAUUCAGUUCAGAACAUCACACUCGCACGCCACAGCAGGCAGCUCAAGUUCAGAAUUUGUUUGCACAGAAGCAACAUUAGAUUGAACGAAGCAGGAGUAGGCCACGAGCGAAAACAAAUACCAGCAGAGCUCAAGUUCCUCCUCUUUUUUUGUUUUUUACAUGAUGAACCAUCAGCUUCUGUCCUCUUAAACUACUCCUGCACACACAAGAGCCAUCAGCUUUGAACUACGCCUAUAUAGACACUCGAACGAUCAGCUUUGGCAUAGUUGAACUACUCAGCAAUAAGCCAUGUAAAAAUCAUAAGAAAAAACACUAUUUUUCAGGCAUAAACACAAACAUCUUAUGUGCUUAUCACUGAUCUCGGCUGGUAGAAUGAGAGGGAGGUAAACAAAGGGCAUGGGAGAUGAAUUAGCAGAGGAGAGAGAGAGAAAGAGACCUGGUCUCUUCGAAUCAGCUGACAUCGGGCCGCGCAGGUGAACUGCUGGCUCCUGUUUGAAUGGCUUGUCCACCGGUGACGAUCUUGGGAGGAUGCUGCUGCCGCCCAUCCGAGCUCUGAACUGCUGAGGCACAACCAUGCCCAAGUCCGAACUACUGCUCGCGACAAACACGAUCACCCCGACGCCAUGGGGUUGGACUGAGGAUGGCGCACAUGCAACGAUGGAGGAGACCGUGGGGUGAGGCCGCCGUGGCGCCACCAUUUUUUGGUCGGCGGCGGCGGUGCGCUGGAAUGAGGCGGCGGCGCAUGUGGGGACGCAGGACCGGCGCGCUGGAAGGAGGCGUGUGGGGACGCAGGACCGGCGCGCUGGAAGGAGGCGUGUGGGGACGCAGGACCGGCGCGCUGGAAGGAGGCGGCGCUGUGGGGAGGUUGCGACAGCUUUUCCUGAUGUACAAUGCUUUCUAUUUCGAAGUUCACACUAGCCAGGUCUGUAGAAUUUGUUCCAUGAGUUUUUACGCAAGGGGAAACACAAAAACUUUUAGAGCUCACUUUCUUGUGGAGGAAGUGGAAGAAGGAUUAACUAAUAUUUGUUUUUGGCACAAUAAAUAUAUUUGAACCUAGACGAUUUAACCGGUUGAACUGAAACAGUCAAACUGAUUAGCAUAUCUAGGUAUAAUGAGACGUUUUAACUAGUUGAAUUGAGACAGAUUAGCACCAAAUAGCUAGCACUGAACUGAGCUAAAAUAAGAAACUGAUCUGAACUAAAAUAAGAAUUGAACUAAAGUAAAAUUAGAAAUUGCAUUGAACUAAAAUUAGAAUUUGCACUGAACACAUGAUUAUAAUGACUUGCACAAUUUGUACGGAAACCGUUCAACGGAAAUUAAACGACUCAAGAGAUCAGUUGGCCACAACAAUAACAAUGUGCCAAGAUCUGAAAAGAUACGAUGCUCAAAACUAAUAACCAAUAGUUGAACUCAGCAUUCCACUUGGUUAAGGUAUGUGCUAGUAAUAACUCCCAAGGUUACAGGCUAAAACAAGAUCAUCAUGUUCGUGUGCACACUUAGCAAUAUGACCGAUGCACGUCAUGGCCCUUAACAAGUACAAUAUGAUAACAAAGUUACAUUCUGUUUUUCCAUGUCACUUAAUACUUAUUCAGUUUUCACUAGCAUACACAAAAUUGCAUUGACAACAUUCAGAAGUUGUAAAGAAAAAUGCAUGAGAACAGACAAGCAAGGGUCAGUAUCGUACCUGGAGCGUACAGGCUUAUGUAGGGUAGGACGCUCAAGUAGAACCCAGGCUCGUAAACCUUCUUAAGCUGUCAAGGAUUGAGCUUGAUCAUAAAUAUGCCAACAUCUGUGCUAACGAACAUGAGAACCCACACCUUCUGC